UACGAAGGGGGCUAGCGUUGCUCGGAAUUACUGGGCGUAAAGCGCACGUAGGCGGCUUUGUAAGUUAGAGGUGAAAGCCCGGAGCUCAACUCCGGAAUUGCCUUUAAGACUGCAUCGCUAGAAUUGUGGAGAGGUGAGUGGAAUUCCGAGUGUAGAGGUGAAAUUCGUAGAUAUUCGGAAGAACACCAGUGGCGAAGGCGACUCACUGGACACAUAUUGACGCUGAGGUGCGAAAGCGUGGGGAGCAAACAGG
rnacentral:rRNA from 1 species